rnacentral:rRNA from 1 species
GUGAAGUGGCGCUGCUACCAUGCAAGUCGACGAUGACGGUGGUGCUUCCACCGCCUGAUUAGUGGCGAACGGGUGAGUAACACGUGAGUAACCUGCCCUCCACUUCGGGAUAACCUCGGGAAAUCGUGGCUAAUACCGGAUAUGAGCACUCAUCGCAUGGUGGGUGUUGGAAAGAUUUAUCGGUGGGGGAUGGACUCGCGGCCUAUCAGUUUGUUGGUGAGGUGAUGGCUCACCAAGACGAUGACGGGUAGCCGGCCUGAGAGGGCGACCGGCCACACUGGGACUGAGACACGGCCCAGACUCCUACGGGAGGCAGCAGUGGGGAAUAUUGCACAAUGGGCGAAAGCCUGAUGCAGCGACGCCGCGUGGGGGAUGACGGCCUUCGGGUUGUAAACCCCUUUCAGUAGGGAAGAAGCGAGAGUGACGGUACCUGCAGAAGAAGCGCCGGCUAACUACGUGCCAGCAGCCGCGGUAAUACGUAGGGCGCAAGCGUUGUCCGGAAUUAUUGGGCGUAAAGAGCUUGUAGGUGGCUUGUCGCGUCUGCCGUGAAAACCCGAGGCUCAACCUCGGGCGUGCGGUGGGUACGGGCAGGCUAGAGUGUGGUAGGGGAGACUGGAACUCCUGGUGUAGCGGUGAAAUGCGCAGAUAUCAGGAAGAACACCGAUGGCGAAGGCAGGUCUCUGGGCCAUUACUGACACUGAGAAGGGAAAGCAUGGGUAGCGAACAGGAUUAGAUACCCUGGUAGUCCAUGCCGUAAACGUUGGGCACUAGGUGUGGGGGACAUUCCACGUUUUCCGCGCGUAGCUAACGCAUUAAGUGCCCGCUGGGGAGUACGGCCGCAAGGCUAAACUCAAAGGAAUUGACUGGGGCCCGCACAGCGGCGAGCAUGCUGAUUAAUUCGAUGCAACGCGAAAACUUUACCAAGGCUUGACAUG